rnacentral:rRNA from 2 species
AGAGUUUGAUCCUGGCUCAGGACGAACGCUGGCGGCGCGCCUAACACAUGCAAGUCGAACGAGAGAUGAAGAGCUUGCUCUUCAAAUCGAGUGGCGAACGGGUGAGUAACGCGUGAGGAACCUGCCUCAAAGAGGGGGACAACAGUUGGAAACGACUGCUAAUACCGCAUAAGCCCACGGCUCGGCAUCGAGCAGAGGGAAAAGGAGUGAUCCGCUUUGAGAUGGCCUCGCGUCCGAUUAGCUAGUUGGUGAGGUAACGGCCCACCAAGGCGACGAUCGGUAGCCGGACUGAGAGGUUGAACGGCCACAUUGGGACUGAGACACGGCCCAGACUCCUACGGGAGGCAGCAGUGGGGAAUAUUGCACAAUGGGGGAAACCCUGAUGCAGCGACGCCGCGUGGAGGAAGAAGGUCUUCGGAUUGUAAACUCCUGUUGUUGAGGAAGAUAAUGACGGUACUCAACAAGGAAGUGACGGCUAACUACGUGCCAGCAGCCGCGGUAAAACGUAGGUCACAAGCGUUGUCCGGAAUUACUGGGUGUAAAGGGAGCGCAGGCGGGAGAACAAGUUGGAAGUGAAAUCCAUGGGCUCAACCCAUGAACUGCUUUCAAAACUGUUUUUCUUGAGUAGUGCAGAGGUAGGCGGAAUUCCCGGUGUAGCGGUGGAAUGCGUAGAUAUCGGGAGGAACACCAGUGGCGAAGGCGGCCUACUGGGCACCAACUGACGCUGAGGCUCGAAAGUGUGGGUAGCAAACAGGAUUAGAUACCCUGGUAGUCCACACCGUAAACGAUGAUUACUAGGUGUUGGAGGAUUGACCCCUUCAGUGCCGCAGUUAACACAAUAAGUAAUCCACCUGGGGAGUACGACCGCAAGGUUGAAACUCAAAGGAAUUGACGGGGGCCCGCAC